GCGGGAGGUUGCUGCUAUGAGGAUUCGACUAAGCCAUGCAAGUCAGGUAGUAAUACCGGCGACAUGCUCAGUAACACGUCGUUAAUCUGCCCAUAGGUCAAGGAUAACCUCGGGAAACUGAGGGUAAUACUUGAUAUGAAAAAUGCUCUGGAAGGAACUUUUUCUGAAACUCGAGCCUAUGGAUGAGACGGCGGCCGAUUAGGCUGUUGGCGGUGUAACGGACCACCAAACCAAUGAUCGGUAGGGGCCAUGAAAGUGGGAGCCCCGAGAAGGACACUGAGACACUGGUCCUAGCCCUACGGGGUGCAGCAGGCGCGAAACUUUUUCAAUGCGGGAAACCGUGAUAAGGGAAUCCUCAGUGCGUGCACAUAGUGUACGCUUUUGCCAAGAGUAAAUAUCUUGGCGAAUAAGUGGUGGGCAAGACUGGUGCCAGCCGCCGCGGUAACACCAGCGCCACAAGUGGCAACCGUGUAUUUGGCCUAAAGCGUCCGUAGCUGGUUGAAUAAGUCUUUUGUGAAAUCGUUACUGUCAACGUAACGGCAUGCAGAAGACACUGUUUAACUCGAGACCGGGAGGAGUCAGAGGUAUUCUUGGGGGAGCGGUAAAAUGCUAUAAUCCCAAGAGGACCACCUGUGGCGAAGGCGUCUGACUAGAACGGUUCUGACAGUGAGGGACGAAAGCCAGGGGAGCGAACCGGAUUAGAUACCCGAGUAGUCCUGGCCGUAAACGCUGUGAGCUAGGUGUUGCACAUUCUACGGGAAUGUGCAGUGUCGAAACGAAGGUGAUAAGCUCACCGCCUGGGAAGUACGGUCGCAAGACUGAAACUUAAAGGAAUUGGCGGGGGAGCACUACAAGGGGUGCGGCGUGCGGUUUAAUCUAACUCAACACAGAAAACCUUACUAGUGGCGACGGCAGAAUGAAGGUCAGUCUGAAGGGCUUGCCUGACAGGCCAAGAGGUAGUGCAUGGCCGCCGUCAGCUCGUGCCGUGAGGUGUCCAGUUAAGUCUGGCAACGAGCGAGACCUGUGCCUGCAAUUGCUAGCGGCUGAUUUUUCAGGACCGAGCACAUUGCAGGGACUGCCUUGGUAACAAGGAGGAAGGUGCAGGCUACGGUAGGUCUGUAUGCUCCGAAUCCACUAGGCUACACGCGCGCAACAAUGGUUGGGACAAUAGGAUGCAACCCCGAAAGGGGAAGCUAACCCCCGAAACCCAAUCGUAGUCCAGAUUGAGGGUUGGAACUCACCCUCAUGACGACGGAAUCCCUAGUAAUCAGAGUUCAUCAGACUCUGGUGAAUGUGUCCCUGCUCCUUGCACACACCGCCCGUCAAACCAACCGAGCAGGGUUUAGAUGAGGCUCAGCUAUUUUGGUCGUUCCGAAUCUAGGCUCAGUGAGGUGGGUUAAGUCGUCACAAGGUA
rnacentral:rRNA from 1 species